rnacentral:misc_RNA from 1 species
AAAUGCAUGAACAACAUACAGUCUAAAAAUCAUUCAAUUUUAAGACCCAUACUAAUCUUUCUUUUCAGAAGUGUAUCUUAUACUUGCUCAUACCAUGUUCGUUUCUUACACAUAUUUAAAUUUCCCACAAAAGCAUAAACCAUCCAUAGUCUACGAAUCAUUCAAUUUAAAGACCCAUACUAAUCUUUCUUUUCAGAAGUGUAUCUUAUACUUGCUCAUACCAUGUUCGUUUCUUGCACAUAUUUAAAUUUCCCACAAAAGCAUAAACCAUCCAUAGUCUACGAAUCAUUCAAUUUAAAGACCCAUACUAAUCUUUCUUUUCAGAAGUGUAUUUUAUAUUUGCUCAUAUCAUGUUUGUUUCUUGUACAUAUUUACAUUUCUCACAAAUGCAUAAACAACUUAUAGUCUACAAAUCAUUCAAUUUAAAGACCCAUACUAAUCUUUCUGUUCGGGAAUGCAUUUUAUAAUUCUGCAUAUCAUGUUCGUUUCUUGUACACACAUUAAAUUUCCCACAAGUACAUAAACAACCUAUAGUCUACAAAUCAUUCAAUUUAUCCUCCAUUCCCUUACUCACACUCACAGAGAGCUGAAUCAGUAUAAGCACGAUGACAUCAAAUUUCCUAAUACUACCACGUCCCCGGUAUUAAUUCACAAACGCGCUAGACCCGCCAGCAUGUCUGUCGUUCCUAUUCGUUCAACAAGACGAACCGACAACAAGAAUGGGGAAAAGAGGGAAGAAAGAGAGAAGAAAGGGGAACACGCUGGUCUGAGGGAUGAAACGAGACGCGUUAGGUCGAGAAGAUAGGAAGAGCGGUUGCGGGUGUUGCGCCUGUACAGAUAUUGAUCGGUCAGGUCACGCAACAGGCUGCUUGUCAGGAUACUCGUCAGGUUCCUCCCUGGCUAGGAACUCGCCUUAGGAUUCCCGACAAUAACUCACGGCCUGGAGAGAGGCACGCCGUUGCAUAACCCGUCGACGAGCUCGUGGUUAAUAAUUCUCUAUCCGACGUGCACGUUCGACGAGUCCGCGGCCGGAUAAUUUGCUCUGCCUCGAGAUCAGCCUCCGACGGAGAAUAGCUGCGACUCUAGCGACAAUAUCGAACCCUUUGAACUCGGCAUUCCCUUCAAAUGGACGGGAAUUCGUGGAGGAACGAGUGGCUGAUCGAGUUAGUCUGCAAGGUGGGGAGAAGAAUUCCGCUAGACCCUGCGUAGCCUGGAAUUUCGCCAGGUUCUUCAACGUUGCCUGGCUUCUGUCUUCAUCUACGUGGCUUGACAAAAUACUUGCGACAUUCGUAGACACCUU